rnacentral:lncRNA from 1 species
GUAAUGACUCAGUCAUACAUGUACAUACACAAACCAUACUAAAAAGCUUGGUUUCUACUCAAUUAGAUUCUCCAGCAACAGACAUCAGGAUCCUACUCUGGAUCAUCCUCCGGGUUCUCCUUUAGAUACUCCUCUUCGAGUUCUUUCUCCUCAGGGUUUUCCUCGUCAGGUUCCUCCUCCUUAAGCUCCUCAUCCGGGUCCUGAAAUGGUUAUUCAAUAACCACUGAGACAACGUCUCAGCAAGUUCUACCCUCUAAGAUCCGAUUAGUAAACUAAUACACCUUAGGGCUGCCUAGCACAACAUGAGUCAGAGGACUUACCUUAGCCUCAGAUUCCACCUGCAUAUUAGUACAGAUCGAAUAGGCACACUAGCAAUCACAUCACAGAUCGAAGCAUCGAUCUAAUCGACAUAGUCGAUUACAUGUCAACAAGACCACUCACGGUCAUUUCCAUUAUUCCAACCAAUUUACAACAUCAAUUCAAGGCAAUGAUUAAUCGACCUAGUCGAUUACAUCUCAAUCAACCAUUCACCGAUCAUUCUAUUCAAUCAAUCAAUUCACAACAUCAGAUUAAAGCAAUGAAUCACAUCUAAUCACACUCAGAUCAAAUCAUCGAUCAAUCGACCUAGUCGAUUACAUGCCAUCACGACCCAUGCUUGGUCGACACAUUCAAUACUAUCUAUAAGUCCGACCAUAGUCCAGGACUGCUCACUCUAAGCUGAUAUAUAGAUAGUAUAGCUCGCACUAAGCUGAUAGGGUUAAGGUAUACUGCUCUCGCUAAGCUGACAUAUCGCCCGUAGGCUGAUGUAGUAUACCGGUAUACUGCUCUCGCUAAGCUGACAUAUCGCCCGCAGGUUGAUAUAGUAUACCCCCGAUGCUCACACUAAGCUGAUAAAGUGUACUGCUCGCGCUAAGCUGACAUAUCGCCCGUAGGCUGAUAUAGUACACCGGUAUACUGCUCUCGUAAGAUGACAUAUCGCCUGCAGGCUGAUAUAGUAUACUAUCCGACCAUUCAAUCCAUUCCAUCUUUUAUCAUUCUCGAUAAAAUAGCCGUGUGUGGGGACACGGUCGGCCUUAGCCAAAAUAUAAUAUUUUCCUUUCCAUAACUCCCACAUUUUCUGUAGUCCACUCAAAUAUUUUUGGCAUUAUUAAUCGAUGCCCGGUUAUUCUUCAAUUAAUAACCAAAGAUGAUUCAAUUUAGGAAUAAAUCCUAAAAUCACUAAUAAAUUAAUUUCUCACAAAUUAAAGCUCGAAUAAAUAAACGAACUACACCACAACAAUCAGCAUGAAAUUCCGGUUACCAGUCAUCCCGGUUGAAUUUCCGGAAAAUAAUUAAUUAAAUAAUUAGUUUCGAAAAUUAAAUAAAUAAAUACAAUAAUUUCAAUUUAGCACAAUAUAAAGCUCAAUUAAUUAAAUGAACUGCGCCACGAUCAUCAACAUAAAAUCCCGGUCACUAGCCAUCCCAGUUGAAUUUCCGGGAAAUAAAUAAUUAAAUAAUUAAUUUCGAAAAUUAAUAUUUAAUUCCUAAAAAUUCCACCUAGGCCCGAUUUGCUUAAUUAACACCUGAUAAGGGACGGAAAAAAUCCCAAGAAGCAUCCAAUAAAUACUAUAGGCAAUUCUCUAUCUAAUUACACUAAUCACACAACUAAUAUGCAAAGCAAUUAACUAAUAAUCACUAAUCAAUUCUAAUCUAACCACCUAAUUACACUUAAUUAACACUAAUCAACCUUUAAGUAUAAUUAGUACACUAAGAAGGCAUUAGUGAGUAAAACUCACUCAAAACGACGGGCUCGACGCGAGGAUCGACUUUCCUCAAAGCGGGCCGAGCAUCCGGGCUCGGGAAGACGGCCAAAACGGGC